UUAAGACUUUCUUUCCAUAAACCUCAGA
rnacentral:sRNA from 1 species